rnacentral:rRNA from 1 species
UACAGAGGUCUCAAGCGUUGUUCGGAUUCAUUGGGCGUAAAGGGUGCGUAGGUGGCGCCGUAAGUCAGGUGUGAAAUUUCGGAGCUUAACUCCGAAACUGCAUUUGAUACUGCGGUGCUUGAGGACUGGAGAGGAGACUGGAAUUUACGGUGUAGCAGUGAAAUGCGUAAAGAUCGUAAGGAAGACCAGUGGCGAAGGCGGGUCUCUGGACAGUUCCUGACACUGAGGCACGAAGGCCAGGGAGCAAACGGG